rnacentral:rRNA from 1 species
UGGGGAAUAUUGGACAAUGGGCGAAAGCCUGAUCCAGCCAUGCCGCGUGUGUGAAGAAGGUCUUCGGAUUGUAAAGCACUUUAAGUUGGGAGGAAGGGCAGUAAGCGAAUACCUUGCUGUUUUGACGUUACCGACAGAAUAAGCACCGGCUAACUCUGUGCCAGCAGCCGCGGUAAUACAGAGGGUGCAAGCGUUAAUCGGAAUUACUGGGCGUAAAGCGCGCGUAGGUGGUUCGUUAAGUUGAAUGUGAAAGCCCCGGGCUCAACCUGGGAACUGCAUCCAAAACUGGCGGGGUGGAGUAGGGCAGAGGGUGGUGGAAUUUCCGGUGUAGCGGUGAAAUGCGUAGAUAUAGGAAGGAACACCAAUGGGGAAGGCGACCACGUGGGCUCAUACUGACACUGAGGUACGAAAGAGUGGGGAGCAAACAGG